GGGUGUAGCUCAGAGUCGUAGAGUGCAUGUCUAGCAUGCAUGAGGUCCUGGGUUCAAUCCCCAGUACCUCCA
rnacentral:tRNA from 1 species